UGGCGUUGGACGGCCGUUUCGGCGGCCGGGCUUUACGUGCCCGGCGGCCUUGCUUCCUAUCCAUCGAGCGUCCUGAUGAACGCCGU
rnacentral:tRNA from 1 species